rnacentral:rRNA from 1 species
GCAUAUCAAUAAGCGGAGGAAAAGAAACCAACAGGGAUUGCCUUAGUAACGGCGAGUGAAGCGGCAACAGCUCAAAUUUGAAAGCUGGCCCUUUUAGGGUCCGCGUUGUAAUUUGUAGAGGAUGAUUCGGCGAGGGCUCCUGCCUAAGUCCCCUGGAACGGGGCGUCAUAGAGGGUGAGAAUCCCGUAUGCGGUAGGUUGCCUUAGCCGUGUGAAUCUCCUUCGACGAGUCGAGUUGUUUGGGAAUGCAGCUCUAAAUGGGAGGUAAAUUUCUUCUAAAGCUAAAUACCGGCCAGAGACCGAUAGCGCACAAGUAGAGUGAUCGAAAGAUGAAAAGCACUUUGGAAAGAGAGUUAAAAAGUACGUGAAAUUGUUGAAAGGGAAGCGCUUGCAACCAGACUUGUCCGCAGUUGCUCAGCCGGUCUCCUGACCGGCGUACUCUUCUGCGGCCAGGCCAGCAUCAGUUCGGGCGGUCGGAUAAAGGCCUCGGGAAUGUAGCUCCUCUCGGGGAGUGUUAUAGCCCGGGGUGGAAUGCGGCCAGCCUGGACUGAGGAUCUCGCUUCGGCAAGGAUGCUGGCGUAAUGGUUGUAAGCGGCCCGUCUUGAAACACGGACC